rnacentral:lncRNA from 1 species
UUUGAAGAAACCGCAUUGACAAUUUUGGAUGAUGGCGAGAGCUAAGAUAGGCGAGAUAUCCAUCUUGAAUCCUAGUCUCAGGAGUGUGUGGUAUCCACCACGUUCCAUUUCCAUCCUUAUUGAAAAGUUUUAAAUAUGAAUUAAGUAUUUUUGAGUUUUUAUUGUGAAAAUGGCUUGACGUUGGAUCAAGCAUUUGAUGAGAGAUUGAGAA